rnacentral:lncRNA from 1 species
CGGACGGGACAGAUUGGAUCGCACCUGUCACAGCCACGCUCUGGAAUAGCGAGGGCCCAGCGUCCCCAGGCCCAGGGUGAGGAGAAUCCCUGCCACACUGUGUCUGGAAUUGGUGGGUUCUUGGUCUCACUGACUUCAAGAAUGAAGCCGCGGACCCUCACGAACCCUCUGUGGAAGCGGUGGUCUGACACAAGCAUUUCUGGAUGACGCUGAACCUGCUUACAACUCCCUGCUGCUGUCAGGCAGAACAUUCUCCAAACCGCAUGAAUUUGGAAGUCUGGACACUUCAGGCAUCAUCAGGUUUAUGGUUUUGUCAUAACCCUGCUGAAAGUCCUUUACCAUCUCCAGGCCUCCAUUUAUUUUCUAUAAAAUAAGGAGUUUGGAAUGGCACUGUGUUGAUAUUCUCCAGUUUUGUGAAACAUCGUACUCAACAAUCGCGAGCAGGCAUUUUACAGACCUUGCUUUCCUAGACCUGCUCAAGUAGAACAUUCAGGUCAGUGCUAAGAGUUAAUAUGCUGCCUCCGUCUGACCUCCACAUUAUGAAAAAAAAUAUAAAGGAAAGAGCAAAAGGUAGAGCAAGUAGGUUUCGGGCUUGGUGGAGUAGCUCUGAGUGCUGCCCUGUCCUUGGCUGUGUGUGCCAGGUGAAGCGUCUGUGAAGGUCCCCAGUGGGGUGUGCAGAGCACAAGGGCUGCUUCUGAAUGCAGGCACGUGAUCUAAGGACACUGUGCAUCACCAGUGUGACCCCAGGAGUAGUUUCAGAGCUUUGAUAAGACCUAGGCCAGGCUCAGUGGCUCACGCCUGUCAUCUCAGCACUUUGGGAGGCCAAGGUGGGUGGAUCAGCUGAGGUCAGGAGUUCAAGACCAGCCUGACCAAUAUGGUGAAAUCCUGUCCCUACUAAAAGUACAAAAAUUAGUUGGGUGUGGGGGCGAGCGCCUGUAAUCCCAGCUACACCACAGGAAUCUGGGCUGUAAAGGCAGGAUAUAAAUUCAAGUCCACAUGCUAUGGAGAAAUCAGAGGUUUCGAAAGUAUCUCCGUGACUGUUUUUGAAGUCACAGCUAAUAAUUCACCGUCUGACACUCCGGGGCUUGCCUGGAUCUAAAAAUAGUUGUUCCCCCGAGCUGGUCGGGGAACUGGCUGAGAAGGGAGGGAGCUGCGUGGAACACAUUCUGAACCAUCAGGAAACCCAAAGCAAAAUCGAAUCUUGCCACCUAAGAUUUGAUUAUUAAAAGAUGGAUUUGACAGCUGAUUCCCCAUUAAUUACAUUUGUAAAGAUAUUUGAAAGACAGGAAUGAAAUGACAGUGGCCCUGACACAGUCCUUGGGGUUUAAGACGGAGUCUGACAUUGUAUCUGUCUCCGGUUCUGCAGCAGCUUAGCGACAUCAGAGACAAUUGAAGCAAAGGGCCCACUUAUGGCUGACAGCUGACCCUGCAGCCCAGCUGGGAAGCCCCUGAGACGACCCGGGUCCAGCCAUCAGGGAAGGGAACCAGCGUGGCCCCAGGAGGGCUUUAGGCUGAGGCUUCUCCCAGGAUGUGGAGGCUCAGCACUUUGCACAAAUUGGAUUCAUGCCAAAGGAAACUGAAAGCCUGCCUUUCUUUUUUUCCCAGUGCACAUCUCAGAUUAUUUGGCCUUUGUCCGAGGACUGAAAACAGUUCUGUGUCCAAGUAUGUUUUUAAUACCUGAUAUUUAUUUCACAAAAAAGCUGAAAUUGCUUUGUGUGUCCAGGCUUGAAUGUUUAAGGCAUACUUGAUUAAUACAUGUGUGCUGAGCGCUUCCUGGGGCUCCUAGACACUGCCAAAGGUAGCUCAGUGGGGAAAUUCAAGGCAAUUUUCCCCUUAACUUUUGCUACUUCUGACCAUUUUCCACUUAUGUUAUUAUGCUUCUGUAUCCAUCUGUCUGCCUAUGUCUAGCUAUCCAUCAUCUAUCAAUCAAUCACUGUAUCUUGCAAUGGAGGAAUUAACUGUGAUGUUUUCAAGCGUGUCGCUUCUCUCAUAUUCCUAUUAACAUAUUGGAAACGCUCAGCUAAAUAGAAUAAAGUUUUUAGCC